rnacentral:rRNA from 1 species
UACGUAGGGUGCGAGCGUUGUCCGGAAUUAUUGGGCGUAAAGGGCUCGUAGGCGGUUUGUCACGUCGGGAGUGAAAACUCGGGGCUUAACCCCGAGCCUGCUUCCGAUACGGGCAGACUAGAGGUAUGCAGGGGAGAACAGAAUUCCUGGUGUAGCGGUGAAAUGCGCAGAUAUCAGGAGGAACACCGGUGGCGAAGGCGGUUCUCUGGGCAUUACCUGACGCUGAGGAGCGAAAGCGUGGGGAGCGAACAGG